GACGUAGGAGGCGAGCGUUAUCCGGAUUCACUGGGCGUAAAGCGCAUGUAGGCGGUUGGACAAGUCGUGUGUUAAAGCCCCUGGCUCAACUGGGGGAGGUCAUGCGAGACUGUGCGACUUGAGGGCAAGAGAGGCACGUGGAACUCCCGGUGUAGCGGUGGAAUGCGUAGAGAUCGGGAAGAACACCAGUGGCGAAGGCAGCUCGCUGGGACGUUACUGACGCUGAGGAGCGAAAGCAUGGGGAGCGAACAGG
rnacentral:rRNA from 1 species